UCUAGAACUCGAUAUAUAAGUUGAACACCGAACAAUAUUUUGGUUGCAGGACAGAUUCAGACUUCUCUUUGGUUGCUAAUAUUUAAACUUUAAAAAGACAGUAUUGAAUCUUGAACUCUGCAUGAAUGUUUUAGACUUUUAUAUUAGCUUUCCAUC
rfam:Populus trichocarpa scaffold_161_contig_1, whole genome shotgun sequence.